rnacentral:rRNA from 1 species
CCUACGGGCGGCAGCAGUGAGGAAUAUUGGUCAAUGGGAGAGAUCCUGAACCAGCCAAGCCGCGUGAGGGAAGACGGCCCUAUGGGUUGUAAACCUCUUUUGUCGGAGAACAAAACCCGGGACGUGUCCCGGACUGCGUGUAUCCGAAGAAAAAGCAUCGGCUAACUCCGUGCCAGCAGCCGCGGUAAUACGGAGGAUGCGAGCGUUAUCCGGAUUUAUUGGGUUUAAAGGGUGCGUAGGCGGUCCGUUAAGUCAGCGGGAAAAUUGCGGGGCUCAACCCCGUCGAGCUGUUGAAACUGGCAGACUUGAGUUGGCGAGAAGUACGCGGAAUGCGCGGUGUAGCGGUGAAAUGCAUAGAUAUCGCGCAGAACUCCGAUUGCGAAGGCAGCGUACCGGCGCCAGACUGACGCUGAGGCACGAAAGCGUGGGGAUCGAACAGGAUUAGAUACCCUUGUAGUC